ACUUGCUUAACUUAGUGGUUAGAGUAUCGCUUUCAUACCACGGGAGUCAUUGGUUCAAAUCCAAUAGUAGGUA
rfam:Cucumis melo, WGS project CAJI01000000 data, contig: 05307